rnacentral:snRNA from 1 species
GUACUUACCUGGAGGUGCCAUGGUCAGGAAGGUGGUUUCCCAGGGUGAGGCUUACCCAUGGCACCCAGAUGUGCUGACCCCUGCGACUUCCCCAAGUUUGGGAAACUCGACGGCGUGAUUUGUGGUAGUGGGGGACUGCAUUCGCACUCUCCCCUG